GAGGGGCAAGCAUCGAUCAAGCCUGUAGAACCAUAUUCCCGGUCGAUCGUGAUUAGUGCUUGUGGAAAUUUUGGGAGGAGUCAUGCACAACAAGCUCGAGACAGAAGAAACACUCGUAGCUACCAUGCUUACUAAACGCUGCGUGACGGACAAUGACGGGGAGAGGAUCGAAGAGACGGGGUCGACCCCCGAAAUCGGUGGUCAUGGAAAGACCAAAAAAGUUUCAAUAUCAUCUUAUGAAGAAACCAAAAUAUUUGCAAAACAAGGGUUCGGAAACGCCAAAUUCACAACCAAGUACACCGACACCUUCGAGACCAUCAUCGCCAGUCGAAAGCGAAGAAAGCAGACGAAGUACACGAAUUCGAAAAUCUCGAGGACCCAGAGACAGACAUUCGCGCAAAGGUGGUCACUCGAGUUCAGGUGCAUAUCAACGCCGAGGUUACAAUCCAAAUGUUGAUUAUCAUGAUUCUGAAUAUCAUUAUGGGUCGGACUUUGGAGAUGAAUCUAGUGAAAAAAGUGAAGUUGAAGAGGAUCUCUUGCAAAGCGAUGUAGAUUCAUCUGAAAGUAUAGAAGAACCUGAUCCUUCCAGUGACAGUGAUUUUUCCCUCUCCAGUUAUAGCACUACUAGUGGCACACCCCGUAAAACACUUCUUAGUCAGCAAAGACCACCAAGUCCAGAACCAUUAUGGCUUCAAAAUAAAGAAUUGCCACCAUUAAAUCUACCUAAAUCAUCCGAUGAUUUAUUAGUUCCCAGAGAACUUGUUAUGCCAUGUUUAUCCAUUUAUGAAGUAUUGAGACACUUUCGCACUUUAGUACGUCUUUCAGCCUUUAGAUUUGAAGAUUUUUGUGCUGCACUUAUGUGUGAAGAUCAAACCAAUUUGUUGGCUGAAAUACAUAUUAUGCUUAUUAAAGCACUUCUUAGAGAAGAAGAUUCUCAACAAACACAUUUUGGUCCUUUAGACCAAAAAGACUCUGUGAAUGUUAGCUUAUAUUUUGUGGAUUCUAUGACUUGGUCAGAAGCUUUACGUUCUUAUGUAGAAAGUGACAAAUCAUUUGAUCAAAAUAUUUUACAUAUUUUAUCAACAUGUGAAUAUCCUUUUACUUCUGUAGAAGAUAGAAUCAAGGUGCUACAAUUUUUGACAGAUCAAUUUUUAAUUACAAAUCCAGUAAGAGAAGACCUACUGCACGAAGGUAUAUUAAAUGGAAAUAUGCAUUAUGAUGAUCACUGUAGAGUAUGUCAUCGAUUGGGAGAUUUAUUAUGUUGUGAAACAUGUCCAGCAGUUUUUCAUUUAGAAUGUGUUGAACCUCCAUUAGUUGAUGUUCCUACUGAAGACUGGCAAUGUAGUACAUGCAAAGCUCACAAAGUUACAGGAGUUGCUGAUUGUAUACCUGAUGUUGAGAAAAAUGGUUCUCUUUGUCGUCAAGAACAUUUAGGAUUUGAUAGACAUGGCAAAAAAUAUUGGUUUCUUGCAAGAAGAAUUUUUGUUGAAAGUGAAGAUGGUGAAGUUUGGUAUUAUAGUACAGCUUUACAAUUAGAAGAGUUAAUGCUUUGUUUAGAUCGUAAUGAAAUGGAAGUUGCACUUUAUCGAGAAUUAUCAGAUUAUAAAGAUGAAAUUGUAAGACAAAUGGAACUUACAGAACAAAUUACGAAUCAAUACAAGGGUAAUAAAAAGUCAUAUCUAGAAAUCGAAAACAGUCUUAUACAAAAAUUACAAAAAGAACGUCAAGAAAAACAAGAAAAAGAAGAAGAAGAAAAAAAAGAGAAACAAAGACAAGAAGCUGAAGAAAUGGUACGCAGAAUACAUGAAGGUACAGAUUCUCUUGAAGAACAAUUAUCAGCAGUCACUGAACAACAGGAAAUAAAGACAUCUGAAGAUUCAAAUACGAAAGAAAAUACUCAAAAAAUAAUUCCAGAAAAUGUAGAAAUAGAUAGUGUAGAUACUAAUUUAACAGAUGGGGUAAAUAAAGAAGUCAAAGCUUGUACAUCAUCAUCAUCAUCUGAAGAAAUUGAUGAAGAGAUACUUGAAGGGGACGAAAGUAUCUCAAAAAUUGGUAGAGAUGGGAAAAAACACACUAUUGUAACUAGAUCAAAAACAGGAUCAUUACAACCUAGGACAUUUAAUAUGGAUGAUCUAAAAAAACGUAGUACUGGACAGCUCUCAAAAGAAGAGUUAGAAAAAUUAGAUAAAGGUUUAAAAGAAGAAGGAGAUAGUACUAGAUUAACAAGACAAAAAGCUCAUCAAAUAGCUUCUGGUACGCAUUUAUUUAAAUUGGGAAUGGAUAACAACUUUAAAUCAUAUGUGAAUCAGUACAGUACUAAUCCUAUUGCUUUGAAUAAGGCCCAACGAAACGAAGAACGUGACAAAAAGAGACAUUUAUCACAUAAAUUUUCACUUACACAGGCUUCUGAAUUUAAAUGGGUAGGAAGUUUGACAGGAACUCGUGCUCUUUUAGUAAGCACACUUCGUCAAACAAUUCUUCAACUUGAAAGCAGCAUUCAAUCUUCAUUUAUGCAUACUAAUUGGCCUCUUUUACGUAAACCUUGGACUACAGCAGUAGGUGCUUGUGUUAAUCCAAGAGAUUUUGCUCGUGCACUUAUUGUAUUACAAGCAUGUAUUAAAUCAGUAGUAUUCGCUAGUGUAUGGCAUGAUCAACUUGGUCAUGUAAAAUUACAAAGGGUAACGGCUCUCGAACGAGAAGAAAAGAAACGUCAAGAUAAAAAAGAUAAAAAAGAAAGAGAAGAUGAGGAAGAACGUAAUCGAUUAUUUAAUUUUGUUAAAUAUACAUUAGGCUUGAAGCAUCAAGUUUGGAAACAAAAGGGAGAAGAAUAUCGAGUACAUGGACAAGGUGGUUGGCUUUGGGUAUCUGCCAGUCGCCGCUAUAGAUAUUCUGAUAUGUCAAAAUUAGGUCUUCGAAUAGGUCCACAGAAAAUUAUGGUACAAAUUAAAGAUCAAGAAGGAUUAAAAAUUUUAGCUUUAGAUCCUCCCACAUAUGACUUUUUGAUAAAGGAAUACUGUUCUUCUAAAAAAGAAGAGAAUAAUAUGAACAUAAAAAUAAAAGAAGAAAUUAAAGAAGAAGAAAUAUCAAAGGAUACAUUAACUGAUGCAUGUAUAAAACAAGAAUGUAAAGAAGAAGACAUAAAAAAAGAAUCAGUUGAAGAUAAACAAAAUAAAACAGAAAUAGAUAUGAAAACUGAAGAAACAAUAACAAAAACAGAAUCACAAUCAAUUAAGCAAGAAACAAAAAUGAAUUUAUCAUUUUUAGCUGGUAUGAAAAUCAAGAAAGUUUAUACACCUAUAAAAGAAUUUGAAGAAAUUGAUAUUACUAAGGCAUUAACAACUAAUGGAAGACUUCAUUAUCCAAAAAUUGCUAAAAAAACUAGAAUUGAUGAUUUCCUGGCACGUAGAACACAUUUAAAACUUUUAGAAGAAAGAAGAUUACUACAGACUGAAAAAUCAAAAGAAUUAUUAAAUCAAUCAACGAAUCAAAAAGAUGGAGAUUCUGAAGUCGAUAUAGAAAAUAAUGAAGAAAGUGAUACAGAUGGAGGUGAUAAUUCUUUACAAAAUAUUCUUACUGGAAAGCAGCCUAAAACUAUAUCUACAUCAGCUAGAGAAAUGUUAAAUGUAAUAGGAAAAAGAAUUCAACAUGUUAAAGCUCAAUAUGCAAGCAUAAUGAGAUUAAAUAAAAAUGGUAGUUGUUAUUCACGAUAUUGUAAUAUGACAACACUUCCGGGAAAGAUUACAACUACAACACAAAGUUUAACAUCUACUUGUUAUUCUCCUAUAUGUCUUCAAAAAGCAAGAUUAAAACUUGAUCUUAUUGCAUUGUUAAGAAAAGCUAAUGCUUUAAAUAAUAAUCAAUCAUUGAAUUUAUCAAUUGGAGCAAAUACAAUGCAAUUAUCACAAGCAAAUUCAAAAAUAGAAGGAAGUGAUGCUAAAGAUGCAAUUAGAAAAGAUUUAGAAUCUGCAGUAGCAUCCGCAACUCAUUGUACUGAAGAAACACCAGCUACAAAUGUAGUAAAAGAUAUUUCACCUCCUAUCAAAAAAAUAAAAGUUGAAUCUAACACGACUUCUACUAAUGAUACCAGUUCAGGAUACAUUGAUGUAGUAACUACUACAAAUAACAUAGUUACUACAACAACUGUAACUACAACACAACAAACUAUAAAAACAAUCGAUGGUAUUGUACAAAGUAUGCAGGAAAGUACAAGUUCUCAAAAUUCAGUUACAUUUUCAUCUGAAGUUAAAACAAGUGUAGGGCAAAAGACAAUGAUUGUUAAUCGAAGAGGAAGAACAGUGCAAAGAAGUACAAUGGCUAAAGAAUUAAAUGCUGAUGGCACAGAAAGAAUAUACUCUACUACAUCAACUGAAGGAAAAGUUUAUUUGAAAAAAGUUGCAAUUUCUUUGGCUGAUAGAAAAAAGAAACGUACUCCAGUUAAAUAUCCCUUAUGUUCAACAUUUUGUACCAAAAAUAAACAUCGUAGUAUAUUGGUACUUCCACAACAUGAAUUGCGUAAAUUAGCUAGAGUUGGUGGUCGAAUACAAGUUUUAGGUUUUCAUCAGAUGGCUAAGGCAAAUAUGUCAGUAUGGCCAUAUCCUUGUCCUAGACCAUUAUUUAAAACUUGUUGGUUAUACAGAACAGUUGGUAUAAAAUCAUUGGCUGCAGCAGCUCUUCAAUUAAGAAUAUUAUGGGCAUGUCUUCGUUGGGAUGAUAUGGCUGCAAAACCAUUAUCUACAGAUGGCAAACAUCAAAUUACAACUGAUACGGAAAUUAUGUCAUUGGAAAUUCUUAAACAUCGUCAUGUCGGUCAAUUUUUAGACAAGACACAAUACUUACGAAGAAAAGUUGUUAUACCUUUAGAACUUCCAAAACAAGUCAGAGAAGUUACAUCUAUAAGAAGUGGUUUAAGAAAAAGAAAACGGCCAGAAUCACCACAAAGUACUGAACCGCAAGUUACGGAAGAAUGGGUUGAUGAAGAUAAAUUAGAAUUAUGGGAAAUUAAACAAUAUGGUGAUAGGUUAGAGAAGGCUAAUGCCCAGAUUAUUACUAGGAGUCGAUCGGGACAGCCACAAUCAACAGUUGGUUCUAACCGAAAUGCAGGAUCAAAUUCUGGUAUAAAUGAUCAACUUGUUAGUGGUAAAGCAACACCUGAAGAAAUUAAAGAGAAAAUGGAACAACAAUUACGUAUGCAAAGAGCUGCUCAUCAACAAAAAAGAGCAUUAGAAACUUUAAAAAGUCCAGCUAGUUCUGGUUCACCUACACAAGUUGUAAAAGUUACAGCUAAUUCUGCUCAUGAUGGUACAGUUAAAUUAGUUUCCAAAGUUGCGAUACCAGCAAAUCCAAAUAGUGGAACAAAAUCACAGUUAACUUCUCUUUUGACGACACCUACGCAAAAUAAACCUUUUAUUAGUACAAAACGUAUUUAUAUGGCAAAAUCAUCUCUUGGAACAACAAAAGUUGUUUCCGGACCUACAAGUAUUUUACCAAAAACACAACUGCAAUCUGGAGGUCAACAAUCUUUAAUUAAAGUUUCUGGUCAAGCAGGACCUAUACAACAAAUUCAACAAAGAGUACAGAUUAUAAGAGGACCAGAUGGAAAACUUCAAGUUCGAGGUUUGAUGCCUGGUCAGCAAUUAGUUCAAAUGCCUGAUGGAAAACUUCAUGUGUUAAAUAAUAGUCAAGCGAUUACUACUCUUGCACAAACUGGAACAACUACACAAACAAAAACAGCUACAACAACAACUGCAGCUAAAGUUACUACAACAGCUAAUUGUACUACUAAAACUAGUCCAUCUAAAACAUCAACAAAUAUAACGCAACAAGUACAAGCUCAGCAAUCACAAGCUCAAUCACAAGCAAUUCAGCGUUCGUCUGGAACUGCCUCAGGAACAGUAACUAUUGCUACUACACCAGCACAACCUACAAAAAAUGCUAUUGUAGUAGCUAAUACUGGACAAAUUGUACAAAGUGCACAAGUAAUAUCAACUGGUGGUCAAGUUAUUAGUGGAAAUCAAAUAGUAGUUACUAAUGCUAAUUUAGCUCAACAACUUGCAAGCGGUAAAGCUCAAUUAACAACAAUUGGUGGUCAUCAAGUAGUUAUUCGUAGUACUCCAACAGGCAAUCAAAUUGUUCAUUUAAAUUCGACAAAUAGUGGUAUUAUUGUAAAAAAUACUGUUACACCAACAAAACAAGUUCCUGUAUUGCAAUCUACUCAAUCAACAGCAACAACAAUAGGAGCACAAUCAAAUGAUACAACAAACAAUAGUAUUAGUAAUAAUACAUCGACAAAUGUGACAUCAUCUACUAUCACAACUGCAACAAAUCAAACAUCCAAUACUCCAGCACCUGGAAGUGUAGAAGCAUCUUUAUUAGCUGGUCAACCACCUGGAACUGUUAUUAAAUGUGUUACUGCUCAAGUUAUACAAACUACUCAAGGUCCUCGUAUAGUAUUACAAGGUUUACAAGGUGCUGAUUUUACUCCUCAACAACUUAUAAUGGUACAACAACAAGUAAAACAACAAUUGCUUAAAGCCCAAGCUACAACAGGCAAACAAGGAGUAUUAGGACCUACCAAAAUUUAUUUAGCUGUUCAACCUGCACCUAAUAGUCAACAAUCAAUUCAGAGUUCUCAAAGUUCUACAACAGCAAAUACUCCCGCUACACCAGCAACAAAACCACAAAUUGCACAACAACCAGUUGUUUCUCCACCAGCAGCAACUGAACCUCAAACGGGAAAUGAAAGCAUUCCAGAACUUCCAUCAACAGCAACAUCAAGUUCUCCUGAAAAACCGAAAGUAGUUGUUCAACAAGUUGCUCAACCUAAUGUGACUACAGAAGAGGAAUCGCAAAAAACAAAUGUAGCUAAUGGUCAGCAACCUUUGCAAUCUUUAAAAGAAGGAAACGAUUCUUCGGCUAAUAAAUUUAUUUUAACACCUGAUUAUAUACAACAAACUAUUAAGAAUGCAUUGAAACAAGAAAAUCUUAAUCCGGAAAUAGAAGAAAAAUUAUUGCAAUUGCAACGAUAUCAAGAGAAACAAAUGAAAGGUGGUGUUGAAAAUUCAGCAACUAAUAAUCAAACUCAUACCACACCUACAAUUACAACUCCGCGUAUGCCAUCUCGUAAAAGACCGGCACCCUCUAACAUUCCAACAACAACCUCAUCUACAAAUGUACAAUCAGCAACAAACGAUAAAGAUACUGAUUGGACAGAAACACCCAGAAAAAAACCAACAUUAAAACAAGAAAGUCGUGAAACUCCAAAAGUACAAAAAAUGGAAGCAAUAGAGAAUGAAUCAACUCCACAAAAACGAGCAGCAAAGCCAAAAGACACUCAAGAGCAACGGAGAAAACAACAAGUCCAUUCUCGAAUGCAAGUCUUAUUAUUUAGACAUAAAGAACUACUUAAAAAAGAUAUUUUAAAAAAAAGAGCAUUACUUGAAAAAGAAUUACAAAUAGAUAUUCAGAAAGAUUUAUCGGCGGAAUUAGCUUCAAGAACAAAAGCAGAAAGACACAAACAGGAUGAAGUAAAAGUAGGAAGUGCAAAACGUAAAGCAAACGCUCAAAUGGCUCAACAAGUUAGUCCACCUAAUAGAGGUGGAAGGCCAAAGAAAUAUAAGGCUCAAGGAAGUAACACUACACCACCAGGAGCUUCAACAGCACCUACUACGAACAGAAUCAAAAAAGAAAAAUUAUAUUGUUUAUGUAGAACACCAUAUGAUGAAACAAAAUUUUAUGUGGGAUGCGAUCUCUGUAACAAUUGGUUUCAUGGAGAUUGCGUUGGAAUCACAGAAGAAAUGUGUAAAACUCUUUCAGAGUUUGUUUGUACAGAAUGUAGACAUGCAAGAGAUACACAAGAGCUAUAUUGUCUAUGUAAACAGCCUUAUGAUGAAUCUCAAUUUUAUAUUUGCUGCGAUAAAUGUCAAGAUUGGUUCCAUGGUCGAUGCGUGGGUAUUUUACAGUCGGAAGCAGACAAUAUUGAUGAAUAUGUUUGUCCGAAUUGUCAACGAAAUUCUUCUGUUAAUUUUGCUAAUAUGAAAAAUCUUAAUGCAAAAGAUCUUGAUCUUCUUAAGAAAUUAAUUAAACAAAUACAGGCGCACAAAAGUGCUUGGCCAUUUAUGGAACCAGUAGAUCCAAAUGAAGCACCAGACUACUAUAAAGUUAUAAAGGAACCGAUGGAUUUACAAACGAUAGAAUUGAGGAUAAAUGAUAGAUCUUACAAGAAAUUAAGUGAAUUUAUUGGCGACAUGACAAAAAUAUUUGAUAAUUGUCGUUAUUAUAAUCCGAAAGAAUCACCUUUCUUUAAGUGUGCAGAAUCCUUAGAAACUUAUUUUGUUCACAAGAUUAAAAGUUUAAGAGAAAAGUUUUCUGAAGGAAAGUAAGCAAUCAAAAAAAGAAAAAAAAAAGAAAACUGUAACUAUAAACGAGUGGAAGUGCUAAGCAUCAAUGGUUAAUUUGUGCAACAACAGAAAUGAUCUGUGCCAGUAGAAAAGAGACAUUCAAAUUAGCCAUAAGAUAUGAAAAGGCAAUAUUAUUUCAUGGACAUCUAAGGAACAAAAAUAAUAUAUAUACAUAUAUAUAUACGUAUAUACAUACAUACAUACUCAUAUGAAAAGAAGCAAAGAAAAGCCUAGCUUCUAAUUUUCACUAAUAAAUUACAAGAGUGAAAGUACAUAGUAAAUAUUUAAUUCAUAAAGAAGAAUCUGAGAAUUUCUAGGAAUAUAAAUUACACACAGAUUUAUUCUGUAAAGGUCUAAGAAAUACUUCCUUAAGGAAAUCUGUUCUCUGAUGUUAAGAACUGUUUCGUGUAUGUACAUUAACAUGUGUGUUUCACGAACUCAAGAUGCGUCUUAACGAUGGUCAAUCAUUUAUUUAAGUGAAAAAAGCAGGUUGUACAUUUUUGCCAGGAUGAUGCUUGUACAGUAUUUUUAAUUCAAAGUUCAUAAAACCUGGCACUGAUCUGUUUUUUACCUUCGACUUUCGAUUAUAGUUACAGAAUACAUAUAAUUACUUUGCCCAGAUUUAUACACCGCAUUAGCUUUAUCGUAAGCUCAAGUGGUCGUGUCAUAUGCGUCUCGUUUAUCGAAGCUUUAUUUUAUCUCUAUUGUAAUGUAUUUUACAAAUGUCUUCAAUAUAUAUCGAUAUAAUAUCUAUAAUUAUUAAAAUGUUAAAUUUUUAUUUUUUUACGCUUAAUUCUUUGCUGUAUUCUGUGUUUAAACUGAUAGCGUUCCUCGAAGUUGUGUGUCUCUAAGUUUAUUUGAUCUAUAUAUCGCAAAGAGUUAAGCGAACAUUUUAAAGAGAAUUUUAUUUUGAAAAUUAUGCCUCGAUAGAUUUACUCUUUGAGAUUUAGUAUAUCUUUGAAAUUCUUCUAUUUUGCCUUUGGACAUUAUUUGGCUCGUAAGGAUUUAUGAAUAAAGAUUAAUAAUAAGUAUUAAUAUAUAAGUAUUCACAGUAAUAAAUACGAGCGCUAAUUGGAAAUAAUAACGUAUUAGCUUUAUUUUUUGAGGCAAAUAGGAGAAUUAAAUUGUUUCUCAAAGAGUUAAUCCUUAUAUUUUUUACGAGAUGCAUGUGAACUUACAAAGUCGUUGAUACUCUUAAAAUUUUUGAUGCGUUAAGAAAACAAAUUUAGCUAAACUCGUUCUGUCGAGUAUUCUUUUCUUACAUAGAAGCGACAUUUGAAGAUGUACUGAAAUAAAAAUUUUUCUGUAAAAAA